GUGGGAGAGAGAACUUAUAAGGUCAUUAGCCCAAAUACUAUAGAUGUAUGCACCACAUAUUUUUCGGCUCUCUUUAAUCUGUGAAAAAUAUUUUUAUUUUAUUUCUACAUGUGAUGAUUCCUGGAAUGUAAUGCCUUAUCUUUCCUUAAUUGUUUAUAAAAGCGCAAAAACACCAACUCUAUUAUGCUUCAAGAAAUUUUUUUUUGGUCUUUUUCCUAGGUACAAGGUUAUAGUUCUUGUUCUUUCUCCAACUCUUUGGUUCUUUUUCACUUGCAUUCAUUUCUUUCUUCUUGAUUUCUCUUUUCUCGAUAGUAACUGAUAAUGAAUGUUCAUGUUUCUUAACUUUGGAUGAUAUUGCUUUUGUUUUUUUUCUUUUUUUUUUUUAAGUAAAUAUAUAUUUCAUCUUUGCUUUUGAUUUUAGUAUUUCUUAUUUGUAUGGAAUUCAUUUGCAAAUAAAAUCAAUUCUAUGAUGGUGUAUUCAGCAGGGAAGUUUGAAUCUUUUUCAUUGUUUAGAGCUAAACUUUGGUGGGCUUGCCUUUUGUUAGAAGAAUUUUAGACAUAGAUAGAUAUAUGAGCAUGGAUCCUAAAUAUCGAGGAUUCUCUUAUCAUACAUGUAAUUCCAUACUUGAUGAGCAAUUAACCUUUCAAAACCCUAAUCAAUACCUAAAUACUGACAGUGAAUUUAGAUUUUUUAGCCCUUUCUCUGAUCUUAGUUUCAUAAGUGUUCCUUCUAAUCCUCCUGAUUCUGGUCAAAAUGAUUUGGGUGUGUACUUUGCCUCUAGUUCUGAGGUAGAGUCCUUUGAGUCUUCACCUGGGUGGAGUCCGGAGGGAGAUGCUUCAUCUUCUUCCUCUAGUGACAGAGAUUACAUUAAUCCAGUUCUUAAGUACAUAAGCCAAAUGCUUAUGGAAGAAGAACAGGAAGAUAAGCCCCACGCGUUCCUUAUGAAUUCUUGUAGCUCUACUGCCCAGAGAAGUCAUUAUCAUGAUGUUCUUUGGUGAAGCAAUAUCUUUUCUAAUUCACCUCAGCCUAAUAUCACCAGAAGAACGUCCCAGAUAAGCGAUCAUUUGGGAAAGCACCAGUAAUUGUGACCCAACCAGCACUGGUGCUCGUGUCCACAAUCACUGUGCUACAACCAGUUUAUAAUGCAGAUCCUUCGGUGAGUUGCUGAUGUGGAGGGUCGAAUCCUGUUUCGGUCUCAAGGACUUCCUAUUUCCUAAUAUUACAUUUCAGUCCAAUUCACAAUUUUUUGUCAAUCUCUUCACUGGUCCUGGCCUGAAUUGGCAAAUGGCUUCAUGUGUAAUUCGUCCUGUGAAUGAAAACUUUGUUGCAGUUAAUAAAGGCUUAGAGGAAACCCAGUUAGAUUCCUUCCUAAAGAUAUUCAGUUAGGGUACUUGAUCCAGAGAGCAACACGUUUAUCAACAGAGCAAAAGGAAGAGCGCGCUCAAGUGGCUGAUAGUGAACGGAGCGAUAAAUAGGAAACCACAUGCUUCAUCUGAUAGUCAAGGGCUACGAAAAAUCAUUGAAGCGAGAUUGGAUCAGAUUUUAGAGAUCAAGGGAGAAAUAGCAAGCAGUCAGCUACAUAUGUGGAGGAGAGUGACUUAUCUGAAAUGUUUGAUAAGGUAUUGCUUUGGCCUCCUUUGGAAGACAAAAAACAGUGCUAUGUCCUUCAAGACAAGCAAGAGGUAGCAAGCCAGAACCCAAAGCCAGAUGAACAAUUAAAAAGAUUGAAUGGUGGUAAGACUCGUGCGAAAAAACAAAGCAAGAAGAAGGAAACAGUGGAUUUGAGGACUCUAAACAUUAUCUGUGCACAAGCUGUCUCUGCAAAUGAUGUAAGGACUGCUAAUGAGCUCCUGAAGCAGAUUAGGGAGCACUCUUCUCCUUGGGGUGAUGGGUCUCAGAGACUGGCUCAUUAUUUUGCCAAUGGUCUCGAGGCUCGGUUGGCUGGCAGUGGGAUUGGAAUGCAAAAUUUUUAUACCUCUAUUGCUUCAAGGAAGACGACCGCUGCUGAUUUGUUGAAUGCUUACAAAACCCAUCUCAAUGCCUGCCCAUAUAAGAUGCUCUCAAUCAUCUUCGCAAACAAGAUGAUUUUACGUGCAGCUGAAAAGGCAACAACUCUUCAUAUUAUAGAUUUUGGCGUCUUGUAUGGUUUCCAGUGGCCUAUUCUUAUCCAGCACCUCUCUGUGCGAGAAGGUGGCCCACCAAAGCUACGGAUUACUGGGAUAGAGCUGCCCCAACAUGGUUUCCGACUAGCGCAAAGAAUUCAGGAUACAGGUCGUCGCUUAGCUAAGUAUUGUGAGAGAUUUAAUGUUCCAUUUGAGUACAGACCUAUUGCUGCUCAAAACUGGGAACGUAUACCAAUUGAGGACCUCAAGAUUAAUAGAAAUGAGGUUCUUGCUGUGAAUUGUUUGGGACGGUUUAAGAACCUACCUGAUGAGUCAUUUGAAGAUACCUGCCCGAGAGAUGCUGUUCUUGAGUUAAUUAGAAAGAUAAAUCCUAAAAUUUUUGUCCAUUUUGUUGUUAAUGGAACUUACAAUACUCCAUUCUUUGUUACAAGAUUCCGGGAGGCACUUUUCCAUUUCUCAUCUCAGUUUGAUAUGUUUGAUUGUACUAUACCUCGUGAGAACCAAGAGAGGAUUUUGUUUGAGAGGGAGUUUUUUGGGCGAGAGGCCAUGAAUGUUGUAGCAUGUGAAGGCAAUGAAAGGGUUGAGAGGCCUGAAAGUUACAAGCAAUGGCACUCUCGGAGUUUAAGGGCAGGGUUAAAGCCACUCCCAUUAGACCAGGAGGUUAUAGAAACGUGCAGGGAGAAAAUGAAGAAAUGGUACCACAAGGAUUUCGUACUCGAUGAAGACAGCAAUUGGAUGCUUCAGGGAUGGAAGGGUCGAAUUAUCAAUGCCUCCUCCUGUUGGGUACCUGCAUAAGAGUUUUCUGAGUGGCAUUUUAGUUGGAGUUUGGCUUGGAAAAUCAUUUCUUCCGGAACUGAGUAGGCACAAAUAACUAUAAAUUAAUACAAAGAUAUAAAUUCAUUUCAAGUAAUCUUUUUUGUUUCCUCUUGUCUCUUUUGCAAUGAAACAUUUUAUUAUAUGAACAAUUAAUUUUAUGCU